GGCACGCCUAACACAUGCAAGUCGAACGAAGUAGCAAUACUUAGUGGCAGACGGGUGAGUAACAUGUAGGUAUCUACCCUAUGGCCUGGAAUAACACGAGGAAACUUGUGCUAAUACCGGAUAAGUCUUUACGGAGAAAGCUUUAUGCACCAUUGGAUGAGCCUGCACUUGAUUAGUUUGUUGGUGGGGUAAUGGCCUACCAAGACUUUGAUCAAUAGCUGAUUUGAGAGGAUGAUCAGCCACAUUGGGACUGAGACACGGCCCAAACUCCUACGGGAGGCAGCAGUGGGGAAUCUUGCACAAUGGAGGAAACUCUGAUGCAGCGAUGCCGCGUGAGUGAAGAAGGCCCUUGGGUUGUAAAGCUCUUUCGUCGGGGAAGAAAAUGACUGUACCCGAAUAAGAAGGUCCGGCUAACUUCGUGCCAGCAGCCGCGGUAAUACGAAGGGACCUAGCGUAGUUCGGAAUUACUGGGCUUAAAGAGUUCGUAGGUGGUUGAAAAAGUUGGUGGUGAAAUCCCAGAGCUUAACUCUGGAACUGCCAUCAAAACUUUUCAGCUAGAGUAUGAUAGAGGAAAGCAGAAUUUCUAGUGUAGAGGUGAAAUUCGUAGAUAUUAGAAAGAAUACCAAUUGCGAAGGCAGCUUUCUGGAUCAUAACUGACACUGAGGAACGAAAGCAUGGGUAGCGAAGAGGAUUAGAUACCCUCGUAGUCCAUGCCGUAAACGAUGUGUGUUAGACGUUGGAAAUUUAUUUUCAGUGUCGCAGUGAAAACGAUAAACACACCGCCUGGGG
rnacentral:rRNA from 1 species